rnacentral:lncRNA from 1 species
AAAAACAUAAUCACCUCAAUAUCUAAAUUAUAAAUAGAGGAGUCUUGCGAGGAUUAUACAAUAGUAAAAACAACCAUAAAAACCAUCCUCUAUUAAAACUUAUGACCAACAAUUAUAAAAGAGACAGAAUUGAAUAAUACAUCAAAAUCGACCUAAAAGUAAAAUUAUAGUCCCAACACCAGAAUUUCAAGCCGAUGGCAGAUCAAUACUGAGCAGGAUUAUUCUUAUAACUUAAUUAGAAACCGAACCGGUAAACUUCUAUAUCUAAAGGGCUAGCAGCACUAAUCUCUAGCGCACUAAAAUUUGGUAAUCGGCAUCCGAGCCUUGAUAUGUGUAAAGUGUUACGGUAACACCAGUGCUGUAGCGGCCAAUAAAUUUCUUCCAUUUUUUUCCACGAAUAACAGGUGUUUCUCUACCUGAAACCUGGUACUCGAAGACCAGCACCUCUUCACUGUUUCCAUCCAUAACGCGCAAAUUUGUGUUCACUGUGGGAAGGAGAUGUGCGCCAUUGCUAAUCUUCAAUCCCUCGUCCUUAUCCUGUCUGGUAAGGUACCUCUCCAUGAUUCUGGCCAUGGCUGCAAGCUGAAAUGUUUUCGCAAACUUAAAUUGUUAUCAGAGAAGAUGAGUUUGAAAGAAGUCUGAGCACUAAGA